GAACAUCUCCUGUAUGAGAGCUGCUUCCUGAUAAGGAAUGUUUUGUACCUAGAAGCCCUGUUACUAGCUGGCAUCACUUUUUGUGGUUUGCACAGUUUGGAGCAUGGAUGUUUUAUUUCACAGAAUAAUUGAAUUCACCGGGUAAAAUUUGUGGUUAAUAUAGUUGUGAAUUAUUCCAGGAGCACUAGACACUGGUCAUCUCAUCUAUGUACAGUAUUUCUGAUAGGUUCUGUUGACCUUGCAACAUCCUCAAAAGGCUCUCCUCUAAAUUCCCAUGAAGAUGGCCAAGCAUGCUUGUCUGAACCACUGGACAAACCAGAGGAGUCUCUGACAGAGCUUUGUCUUUAAAUAGCAAAUUGAAUUAUGUGUAAAUAUAAGAAAAAGGAAUAACGCUCAUAUCGUGAG
ensembl:lncRNA